AUCAGUGAGGGAACCUGCGGCUGGUCACGUGGUCGUCAGUGUUGAUCUAGAAAUGGAGGAGUGGUGGUGUCGUCAUUUGGGCUCCUGAUAGGAAGAAGAAGAAGAAAAAAAAAAGGGGUAGUGAUGAAUUGAAAGGACUAAAAGAUUUAAAGGGACAUGGAGGUGUUUGAUAAGAAAGCUGCGGUUGACUUGAAGGAAAUGAAGGGCGUGUGCCGUGGAGAGUGCCGCCCGCCACCACCCACGCCGCCCAAUACAGGUGCUGCUGACCACGCCCACGCUUAACGCAGCCCACCCACUCCUGCAGAUAACACCACCACCUCCUUCAAGAUCACUCCAAACUUAACCACAUCCACAACACCAGUAUCCCAGCGAACCAGCAACACCCCAAAGCACUCCCUAUUCAGGCAACACUCCUCCCUUCGUCAGGAUACAACAAGGCGGUGAUGAUGAGUGACGCCGCUAGACUGGAGCUGCUGAGAAGAUACGGGGGCACUUACUUGGACCUGGACACCAUCACGCUGGCGCCCCUGCCCUCUACCUAUGCUUACGUGGCCAGGCUCUCCGACAGACUUAUUAGCAACGGUGUCAUGUCCUUCCCACCUGGCCAUGUGCUUCUGCAGAAUAUGAUGAAAGACAAACACCAGCGGACCCUAAGAUCCUCACUAGGCUGUUGGUAUAACUAUCCUUCACUGACUAUUAGUAGGAUGGACAGAAUACCAAAGUAGAAAGAUUCUCCCCACCCACCAAUCUCCCCAGACGAAGCUGUCAUGAAGAUACUUGGUAGUGAAAAAACACAUGGAAUUUAAGUGGAUGCAGAAAAGAGUUUGUAGUCUCCAUCAGCUUUGUAUGCAGGGGUGAGGGGCGUGUUUGGUUGUUGUAAUGUGUUGCGUGCAUAGUAUAGGUGGAGGCACAGAGUGGUGAGCGAGGGGUGGUGCGGCUGCCUUGCCUGGCAUUUUUAAGGGAAGAAGCAGUUAAUCAGGACCCAGCUCUGUUCGAUCCACCUAUGAACGCUGUAGGCCAGUUUUGCCCUGCAACAUUGACCCCUGGUACUUUUUUUUCAUUUUUGCGUUGAUGAUUGAUAGUUGUCAGAGCUCUCUAAACAAAGCACAUCGUAGAUCAAAAGUAGUAGUAGUGACCAUCAAGUCAGGGCUAUGUAUACGUGUAGGCACAGUGUAGUGUAGUGUAUGUGCAGACACAGUGUAAAGGUCAGGAGAUUUAUAAACAGUUGGUAUUUGGCGUAUUAAUAUAUUUUCCUUACCUUUAUGUGGAGGAAGACUUAAGAGUUUACCUGUCUUUACCUUUACGUGGAAGAAGGAUCUAUUUUUACUGGCGGAAGAACACGCAGGCGUUGGCCAAGAACCGUUAACCACUCUGCCACAUCUCACAAUUUUUUUUUUUUUUUUUUCAUUUAUCAGUUCUUUUUACUUUUAACUGAAAUUCAAAUAUUAUGUAUGGAUUAUUUAGCCAUUAAAACCAUGCCGUGCUAUGAAUGAUCCGGGUUUUGAGAUAAUAGUCCCGUAUCUCCCCUUUCCGUGAGAUAACACAGUAACGCAUGCCUCAACACCCACAAAGAAAACGGUGAAGGACAUACCAGCCUCGUGGGACGCCGCCAGUUAUACCAGCAUAGGCGCGGAUCUCCUUACGCGCCACCUCCACUUCCACUGCCCGCACAACCUCACCGCGCCUCCACUACCUCCGCCACCCCAUCAGGAGACAUGCGGUGACAUCCAAGUCCUUCCUGGCGACCUUUUCUUCCCCUUCAUCAACGGCACGGACCUAAAACAAAUCUUCUUGCAAGGAAAGGGAUACGAACGUGCGUUUUUUGGGAGUUUUAAAGGGUAUUCCCUCCAUCUGUAUAACCAUUUGAACGCACAAAGCACGCGUGGAGCCCUUAGGUGAGAGGUGUGAUGGGCCAGGCAGCUGUUAGGAACUGUCCAGCGGUGGUUAGGGUGUUGUUACAGCAUCAUGUGUAUUUGUAGUGGUGAUAGUUAUUGUAGUAGUUAUGACAGUAGUUAUUGUUGUAGUGGUAGUAGUAGUAAUAACUGAUACGUUUAUAAAUAUCUUCCGUUUUCUUGCUAUUCCUGUUCCUUUUAUUUAUUCAUUUAAUUUAUUUCGCAUGUUUUUUUCCGUUUUAUUUGUCUGUUUUAUUCAUUCAUUUGUUACAGUUUUAUAUAUACUUAUAUUUUUAUUAUUUCUUAUUUCUGUGUUGUAAGC